AAUUUUUCCACCUUCACUUUACUCCACCUCAACCUUACACCACCUUCACGCUCUCCACCUUCACUUUACUCCGUCUUCACUCUCUCCACCUUCACUUUACUCCGCUUUACUUGUUUGCCUGAGUCUUGUGUUUGACUCUCAGUCGUGUGAAAAAAUGUGUUAAACAAAGGCGGUUCAUUUUCAGGAUGAAUGGAGAUGAAUUUUCUUAGUGAAGCACAGACACAAUAGCACAAUAACAUUAAUGCAAUAAUGUUUAUUGUACGAGUCAACUCCGUGUUGAUUUUUUUGUAAUAAACAAUUUUAGUAAACAGUUUUUUUUUUUAAUAGAGUGCUGAGAAAUAUUAUUUCGGUCAUUUGAAUAAGAUUUCAUGGAACAAUUUCAACCAUAGUUAGGCAGAGACAAACAGUCAAUGGUCAUAAUAUUGCAAAGAAAAGAAAAAAAAAAAAAAAACCAGUAAUGAAUCAUUUGGGAGUCGACUCUUCUCGGUGACUCACUGAGAAAAAUCAGAAUUCCAAUCAUUACUCAGAACCGACGUGUCUGAUUUAUACCACGCCGCAGUCAUGUGACAUAUCGUUGAUGAAUUCAUUUGUGCGAAUGUGGGAGGUGAAGCUAAUGAACCAGGAACCCGGUGUAGACAGACAAACGGAUAUAUAGAUCAUCCUGAACGGAACCGAAUUAAGACAAACGACUCAGAACCCAAUCACUCCCACCGACAAUAUGCUCAUCAGUCUUCACUGUUUACAUUUAUACUGAUUAUCUGUGUCGUGUGUCGUGCAUGAAUAAUUAUUUACUCCCCUUUUACCAAUAAACUCCAUGCACAAGACCAAAAUCUUUCCAGAAUCCCUCUUCAUCUAUCUAAAGUUAGCAUUCUUCUGUCAUUUCCUCUAUUUUUUAUAAAUAAAUGGUUGAAACCUGUGAAUUUUUUUGCCCCGGAUCCGUCGCUCUUAAUAACACCGACCCGCCGUAUCGCUCCAAUCGGUUCUCUAUCGCCUGUUUAGGGAACAGAGAGAAACCGCAGCUUUAUUUGAGGAACGAUCGAGCGCGGGUUCGAUCACUGUCUGCCAGAUUUACCCGGAGAGUUUACUGUUGGUUUAUCCUGUGAUUAAUGAGCUCUGUUUCUGUUCUGUUGUUAGUUUUAUUUAAGUAAAAUAAGAAUCAAUCAGGUUCAGAGGAGAAGAGCGAAGCGAGGACGAGGGAAACCUGAUUUAACGGGCUCGCUUUGAUAAACACGUCAAUCAGGAAAUUAGCGGAAGGUAGCAGGAUGUAGAGCGGUGGGCUUUGUGGGUUACAGGUGGGCGUGGCUUCGAGUUUAGACAAGAUUUGUUCGUUUUAAGAUGACUAUCUUUAUUCCCCUGUACGAAAGAUAAUUCCUUCUCAGAGCUACUAUGACAUGCCCACAUUCCAGUUUAUAACAUUUAGGUGCACGCCCACUCAGAGCUACUAUGACACGCCUACAUCCCAGUCUAUAACCUUUAGGUGCACGCCCACUCAGAGCUACUAUGACACUCCUACAUCCCAGUCUAUAACCUUUAAGUGCACGCCCACUCAGAGCUACUAUGACACGCCCACAUUCCAGUUUAUAACCUUUAGGUGCACGCCCACUCAAAGCUACUAUGACACGCCCACAUUCCCCUCUAUAGUUAUUGAGGUUAAUGUUAUGGUUAAAGGUAAGUCACUGCAAAUACCACAAAGAUAGAACAUGUGUGUGUGUGUGUGUGUUUGUGUGUGAGUGUGUGUGUGUGUGUGUGUGUGUGUUCUAUCACAGAGGUGCUAAUGGCUCUGUAUGGUUUUCUCUCCAACCACACAUUCUUCCCACAAGGAAUCCAUUAGCGUUCAGUUACCUACCACUAAUGCACUACCACCUCUUAACUUCUCUCUCAUGAUGUGUGUGUGUGUGUGUGUGUGUGUGUGUGUUUCAGUUACAGAAUGAUAAUGGCACUCUGUGAUUGAAUAUGACACUAAAUUCCCGAGUUGUAGCCUCAUUGGGUUUAGCCGUGGUCAGAGUGUGAGAGGUAUUGGUCUAAAGUGUGUCACACACACACACACACACUUUGCACUAAGUCUCCUGAGUCAGGAAAGUGUGAGAUCUGACUAGAUUCUGUUGAAACUCCCAUCGAGAGGUGUGUGUGUGUGUGUGUGUGUGUGUGUGUGUGUGUGUGUGUGUGUGUGUGUGUAGUUUUCCGCUCUGUAUUAGUGACAGUGAUGAACGGAAAGCUUAAUCGAGCUGGUCACUGAAAUGUUGAAGCUACACUUCUCCUCUUAUUAGUGUUAGAAAGGCGUUGUGUGUGUGUGUGUGUGUGUGUGUGUGUGUGUGUGUGUGUGUGUGUGUGUGUGUUUAUGUGAUUAUCUCUUUCUCUGUCUCUCUAGUUUCAUCCUCAUUCCAGACUACUUGUCUGUUGUUUAUAAUUCCUUUUUAUUCCCUGAGGGUAAUAGAAUUUUCUGGAUUGUUCUCAGUCGAUUCCAAUCGCAGCUCUGAUGAAUCACAUCUUGAGGAUGAAUUUAAUCACUCAUCUUUUCGUUUAUUGUCUCGUUUAUUUAUGUCUUUAGAGUUUUCUAGCACCAUUAUUUAUGAUGAGCAUGCAUAUCAUAUGCGGAGGAAGGUGUGUGUGUGUGUGUGUGUGUGUGUGUGUGUGUGUGGUUUGGGACAUGUCAACAACGGACUGCAAAUAUCUGAGUCAGAGUGUUUACUAUGUUUACUGUGAGAAAAUGCAUUCAUUCAGCAGCGGGUUUUAUUCUGUUCUGGUUCUGGUUCAGUGAUCCAGCAGUGUUUAUUUAUUUAUUUUCUCAGUUCUCAGUUAUUUUCACUGUAUUUUUUUUUCCACUUUUUCUCAUUUUGUCUCUCCCUUCUUCUAUAUUUUUCUAACCAUUAUUUUUCCUUCCUUUCUCUUUCUUUCUUUCUCUUUCUUUCUUUCUUUCUCUUUCUUUCUUUCUCUUUCUUUCUUUCUUUCUCUUUCUUUCUUUCUUUCACUUUCUUUCUUUCUUUCACUUUCUUUCUCAUUCUUUCUUUCUUUCUUCCUUCCUUUCUCUUUCUUUCUUUCUUUCUUUCUCUUUCUUUCUUUCUCUUUCUUUCUCAUUCUUUCUCAUUCAUUCUUUCUUUCUUUCUUCCUUUCUUUCUCUUUCUUUCUUGAGUCUGGAGUACUGAGUCUGGAGUACUGAGUCUGGAGUACUGUGUCUGUAGUACUGAGUCUGGAUUACAGUGUCUGUUUGGCUGUGUCUGGAGUACUGUGUCUGGAGUGCUGUGUCUGGAGUACAUGUAAUGGAGUACUGAGUCUGAAGUGCUGUGUCUGGAGUACUGUGUCUGGAGUACUGAGAAUGGAGUACUGAGUCUGAAGUGCUGUGUCUGGCUGUACUGAAUCUGAUGUACUGAGUGUGAAAUACCGUGCCUGGUGUACCGUGCAUCUGAAGUGCAGUGUCUGGCUGCACUGAAUCUGACGUAGUGAGUCUGAAGUGCUUUGUCUGGAGUAAUGAAUCUGAAUUACUGUGUCUGGAGUUCUGAGUCUUUAGUACAGUGUUUGUAGUACUGAGUCGGGAGUACUGCUUCUAGAGUACCUUGUCAGAAGUACUGUGUCUGUAGUAUUGAGUCUGAAGCAUUGUGUUUUUAGUACCAAAUCUAGAUUACUGUGUCUGUAGUACUGAAUCUGGAGUACUGAGUCUGACCUUCUUGGAGGAUAAUUAUGUGCAGUGAAAUGGACUCGAUUGAGUUGAUUUGGUUAAAUCGGACAGCGAGACGUAAAAAGUGCCACCCCCCCCCCCCCCCCCCCAUUUGUCUUCACUCUCUAUUUUUUCUUCACAGCUCCUGCUUUGUUUUAUCUGCUCAUCGAUCAUGUCUCCACCACUUCUACUCCAAUCCAUCAACCUCUCCUCCAUCUCUCUCUCUCCAUCUCUCUCUCUCUCUCUCUUCAGCUUUCUUUUUCAUAUCCCUCUCUUUUUUGUGCCUCACUCUAUUGUUUCUCUCUCUCUCUCUCUCUCUCUCUCUCUCUCUCUCUCCCCCCUUGCUGCCUUGUAUCCAUCUUUCUGAUCCCUCUGUCUGCAGGACCGUUCUGUAUAUCAGCAGAGAUUUCACACUCGUGAUCCUCUGCGCAGGCUGCCUGAUCAUUCACGCUGGGAAACACACACACACACACACACACACACACACACACACACACACACACAGCCAUCCCUCCCUACCUUCGCUAUAAUUUACACAUGUCCUUUUCAGAUAGUAAUAGAGUCCAACCUGCAUGCUGUUUUCUCAUUUCUUUUACACACACACACACACACACACACACACACACUCACAGACACACUCACACACACACACACACACACACCAAAGGACCCCUAAUGCAUCACAAUUGCAUGUGUCGAUGUACCAUUGCUGAUACAGAAUACCCAGAAUGCACUGUUCUGCCUGAAAAUAUCACUCAUAAGUGAAUAAGAUGUGUUUGGGACACAUCCUCAACAUUCUACUGAUGAUGAUGAGAUGAUGGUUAUAACGAUGUUUGUGUCCUAUAUAGUGAAUAAGAUGUGUUUGGGACACAUCCUCAACAUUCUGAUGAUGAUGAUGAUGAUGAUGAGAUGGUUAUAACGAUUGUUUGUGUCCUAUAUAGUGAAUAAGAUGUGUUUGGGACAUACCUCAGUGUCGUGAUGAUAAUUAUACAUUUGUAAUGAUUACUGUAAAUGCCCUAUAUAGCGAAUACAGUGUUUGGUUUGGAACACGUCCACAGUGGGCUGAUUAUGAGGAGACAUUUGUAAUGAUUCUUAUGUGUCCUACGUAAUGAAUAGAGUGUCUGGUUUGGGACACAUCCUUGGUGUACUGAUGAUAAUUAGAUGUAUGUAAUGAUGUUUAUGCAGCCUAUAUAGUGAAUAGGGUAUGUGGGUUGGGACACAUCCACAGUGGUGUGAUGAUGAUGAUGAUGAGACCUUUAUAAUGUUAUAAUGUGCCCUAUAUCGUGAAUCGGGAGUUUGAUUUGGAACAUGUCCACAGUAGACUGAUGAUAAUUACACGUUCGUAUUGUUGUCUAUGAGCCCUGUAUAGUCACUAGGGUGUGCACACAUCCACAGUGACUUGAUGAUGGCCUAUUUAGUGAAUAUUGUGUUUAGACCUUUGUAUUGAUGGGACACGUCCACUGUGACCUGAUUAUGAGGAGACAUUUAUAAUGAUGUUUAGGUGCCCUAUAUAGUGGUUCAGGACACAUCCCCAGUGGACUGAUGAUAACAGAUGCUGUAGUGAUGCAUAUGCAGCCUAUGUAGUAGAUAGACUGUGUCGAUUGGGACACAUCCAUAGUGACCCAAUGAUAGUAAGAUAUUUAUAAUGAUGUUUAAGUGCCCUGUAUAGUGAGUUGGAAAACACCCGUGGUGAGUUAAUGUUGUUUGUAUUGAUGUUCAUAUGGC
ensembl:lncRNA